GAGUUUGAUCCUGGCUCAGGAUGAACGCUAGCGGCAGGCCUAAUACAUGCAAGACGAACGGUAAGUUGUGUAGCAAUACAUAACCUAGAGUGUCGUAAGGGUGCGUAACACGUAUGCAAUCUGCCCGGAACUGGAGGAUAGCUCGCCGAAAGGCGAAUUAACACUCCAUAGGAUGGUAGGGAGGCAUCUCCUAGUCAUUAAAACUACGGUGGUUUCGGAUGAGCAUGCGGAUGAUUAGCUAGUUGGUGAGGUAACGGCUCACCAAGGCGAUGAUCAAUAGGGGAACUGAGAGGUUGAUCCCCCCACACUGGCACUGAGAUACGGGCCAGACUCCUACGGGAGGCAGCAGUAGGGAAUAUUGGACAAUGGGUGCGAGCCUGAUCCAGCCAUGCCGCGUGCAGGAAGACGGCCUUCUGGGUUGUAAACUGCUUUUGCCAGGGGAUAAAAGUCCCUGCGGGGAAAAUUGAAGGUACCUGGUGAAUAAGCCACGGCUAACUACGUGCCAGCA
rnacentral:rRNA from 1 species